UUCUUAUGACAAACUUAUGAAGUGGAAAUUAUUAAUUCUCAUUUACACAUGAGGAAAUUGAAGGUCAGAGAAUCCACAGCAGAGGGCCCAUAUUCCUUCUGUUUUCCAAAUACAUGCUAUUUAUCAUGCAGCCACUGCUGGAGGAUUGGUCCUUCCAUACAGAGCCUUCACUGGGGGUAUUCUCUAGUCCUGAUCAGAAAAGUUGGGCAGCGUCUGCCCACCACCUGUCAGGACCUGGCUUCAGGUCAGCCAGCAUAUCGGGGACCACCCCACUGUGGGAUGCUGCCAACUGCAUCGGUCUGGCAACCACGUUUGUUUACCAGCACUUGUUGGCAAGGCCACGGCUUUUGAAGCUGCCUCUCAUUGUGUCUUUAACACUUCUGCUCUGACCACCCAGCCUCAGCAAAGCAAGACCCACGUCUGCCCACAUCAAUUCAUUCUGUAACUGCUUAGGGAAGAUUUUGCCUCCUCCCUCCUCUGUGUGCUUCCUGACUCAACAGUGACAUCAAAGUCCAGGGGACCCUUUGUGAGAGCCUCAGUGCUAGUGAUUCCACGACCAAAAUACUGGUCUUCAAGCUGUACAAGAAGUAUGGUGUCAGCACCUACUUCUGGUGAGAGUCUCAAGAAGAUUCCACUCAUAGCAGAAGGCAAAGAUGAGCAUGCAUCGCAUGGAGAAGAAAAGAGGAAAAAAGAACAAAAGAGAGAGAAGGAAAAAGAGGAGGAGAAUUGUUCUAGGACCAUGUGCCCUACCCUCAUGGAGCUCAAGUGUUGGGAGAAACGGGCAAUAAACAAGCUGGAAAUCUACAUUUCUUAGACUUCCUUGCCAGCAAGUUUCUGGAUACAGUUAGAUUCAGCCAAUGUGAUGAACUCUUGUGAGAGAUGAAAUAUGCAAGGUAGGAAAUGGGCUUGUGCCACCAAGAUCCACUGGUCUUAUUAUGUACCCCAUCACCCAGAAGAAGCUGGUGGUUCAGGAUGAUGGAACAGCUUAUUGAAAACUCAAUUAUAGCACCACUUGGGAAACAGCACCUAGCAAAGCUACAGUGCAGUCCUACAAGUUGUUGCAUAUGUUGCCAAAGAAUAUCCAAUAAAAGGUGUUACUGUCCCAAUAUUGUGACUAGACAUAGUUACAUGAAGUCUAGGAGCCCAAGAUAGAAAUACGAGUCACUUGUCUUCUUAGCACAUCUUAUGAACCACUCAUGAAAGGUUCGCUACCUUCCCCAUGUCUUUGGAGUCUGAUGGACAGAGGUAUUACCCGCCAAGAGAAAAGCAGUCCCACCACGAGACACAGCAAGUGUUCUACUGAAUGGGAAGUCACAACUGGACACCUGGACAUUUACGGCCUCUCCUGCCAGUGAACUAACCAUUUUUAAAGGGUAUUAUUCUCCUGCCUGAAAUGAUGACUACUAAUUGUCAAAGGACAUUAGGACUGCUGCUGAACAAAGGGGAAGAAAGACGAUGUCAGGAACCCAGGGAAAUUCCCUGAAGCAUCUUUUACUAAACUAUGCCUUGUGAUAAAAGUUUUAAAAUAACCCGAUAUAAACAGGACCCCAAAAGAUUAAGGUCCUAAAGAAGCUGAACAUAAUUAAGAGAUCUCAGACCUUUCAGGAAAGACAGUUUGUUCACCACUCCAGGUAGAAGAUAUCCUGACAAAAUGAGCUCCUGGAUGAGGACAAAGAGAACAUGGAUGAAUAUAGUUAUAAAUUCUAACUUCAGCCUCAUGACCAGUUGAAUAAACAAAAAUGCAGCAACUAUGCAUAUUUUCUUUAUUAUUUUGAAGUGCAUAUAUUUGCGAAUUUUGACCAAUUUUUUCUCUCCCUUUCCCUUGACAUAAUUGAUUUUUAUAUUAUAUUUGCCUUUCUUCUUUUACGGUAAAAUGAGUU
rnacentral:lncRNA from 1 species